rnacentral:rRNA from 1 species
AACGAACGCUGGCGGCAGGCCUAACACAUGCAAGUCGAACGGGACCUUCGGGUCUAGUGGCGGACGGGUGAGUAACGCGUGGGAACGUACCCUUUGCUACGGAAUAGCUCCGGGAAACUGGAAUUAAUACCGUAUGUGCCCUACGGGGGAAAGAUUUAUCGGCAAAGGAUCGGCCCGCGUUGGAUUAGCUAGUUGGUGGGGUAAUGGCCUACCAAGGCGACGAUCCAUAGCUGGUCUGAGAGGAUGAUCAGCCACAUUGGGACUGAGACACGGCCCAAACUCCUACGGGAGGCAGCAGUGGGGAAUAUUGGACAAUGGGCGCAAGCCUGAUCCAGCCAUGCCGCGUGAGUGAUGAAGGCCUUAGGGUUGUAAAGCUCUUUCACCGGAGAAGAUAAUGACGGUAUCCGGAGAAGAAGCCCCGGCUAACUUCGUGCCAGCCGCCGCAGUAAUAC